AUCAUGGCAUACGGCGGCCCCGUGUUUCCCGGGAUGAUCGUCUGUAUUUACUUUGUCAUCCUCUUCAUCUGUGGUAACUACAUCCUGCUGAAUGUCUUCUUGGCUAUCGCCGUGGACAACCUGGCAGGAGGAGACAGUGACGACAAGAAAAAAGAUAAGAAGGAGGAGGGAGCAGAGGAGGAAGC